UUAGCACUGGCACUGCUGAAUACUCUGUACCAGGCUGCAAUGGGUGCUGAAAGAUCCACACCUAGUGCUUCUGUAUGUCAUCUGCGGUAACAGCAUCACCUCCGUUCAAACAGUAGUGUAAUCAUUGCUUGGGUCAACAUUUUCAAGGGGCUCUCACAGCUUUAAAAAUGUGCAGACAGGGAA